rnacentral:lncRNA from 1 species
AUCAUUUUAUUAAAUGGCAUUAGAGUUCGAGCUUUAUCCAUACAUAUCCAUACACCAUUUACAAUCACAUUUAUUUCAUCAUAAUUAUCUAUAAAUCCAUAUCUAUCAUUUUAAAAUAUUUUUCACCCGAAAACUCAUUUUGAAACACUAAGUCAUGAAAACCAGGAAAAAUCUUUGUAAAACCGUUUUCCACACGGAAACCUCUUUCCUUUAAAACACACUACCACGAGGGGUAGAAAACCGUUUUCAUUUCAUUAGAAAACCAUAAUCACAUUAUUCAUUUCACAAAACCGCGUGAAUCC